UAGGGAAUCUUCGGCAAUGGGCGAAAGUCUGACCGAGCAACGCCGCGUGAGUGAAGAAGGUUUUCGGAUCGUAAAACUCUGUUGUUAGAGAAGAACAAGGGUGAGAGUAACUGUUCACCCCUUGACGGUAUCUAACCAGAAAGCCACGGCUAACUACGUGCCAA
rnacentral:rRNA from 1 species